UAGCUAGUUGGUGAGGUAAAGGCUUACCAAGGCGACGAUCUGUAGCGGGUCUGAGAGGAUGAUCCGCCACACUGGAACUGAGACACGGUCCAGACUCCUACGGGAGGCAGCAGUGGGGAAUUUUGGACAAUGGGGGCAACCCUGAUCCAGCCAUGCCGCGUGAGUGAAGAAGGCCUUCGGGUUGUAAAGCUCUUUCGGCCGGGAAGAAAUCGCAUGGGCCAAUACCCUGUGUGGAUGACGGUACCGGAAUAAGAAGCACCGGCUAACUACGUGCCAGCAGCCGCGGUAAUACGUAGGGUGCGAGCGUUAAUCGGAAUUACUGGGCGUAAAGCGUGCGCAGGCGGUGUUGUAAGACAGGCGUGAAAUCCCCGGGCUUAACCUGGGAACUGCGUUUGUGACUGCAAGGCUAGAGUACGGCAGAGGGGGGUGGAAUUCCACGUGUAGCAGUGAAAUGCGUAGAGAUGUGGAGGAACACCAAUGGCGAAGGCAGCCCCCUGGGUCGAUACUGACGCUCAUGCACGAAAGCGUGGGUAGCAAACAGGAUUAGAUACCCUGGUAGUCCACGCCCUAAACUAUGUCAACUAGGUAUUGGGUGGGUAAAACCAUUUAGUACCGUAGCUAACGCGUGAAGUUGACCGCCUGGGGAGUACGGCCGCAAGGUUAAAACUCAAAGGAAUUGACGGGGACCCGCACAAGCGGUGGAUGAUGUGGAUUAAUUCGAUGCAACGCGAAAAACCUUACCUACCCUUGACAUGCCAGGAACUUGCCAGAGAUGGCUUGGUGCCCGAAAGGGAGCCCGGACACAGGUGCUGCAUGGCUGUCGUCAGCUCGUGUCGUGAGAUGUUGGGUUAAGUCCCGCAACGAGCGCAACCCUUGUCGUUAAUAGCCAUCAUUUAGUUGGGCACUUUAACGAGACUGCCGGUGACAAACCGGAGGAAGGUGGGGAUGACGUCAAGUCCUCAUGGCCCUUAUGGGUAGGGCUUCACACGUCAUACAAUGGUCGGUACAAAGGGUUGCCAAGCCGCGAGGCGGAGCCAAUCCCAGAAAGCCGAUCGUAGUCCGGAUUGCAGGCUGCAACUCGCCUGCAUGAAGUCGGAAUCGCUAGUAAUCGUGGAUCAGCAUGUCACGGUGAAUACGUUCCCGGGUCUUGUACACACCGCCCGUCACACCAUGGGAGCGGGUUCCGCCAGAAGUAGGUAGCCUAACCGCAAGGGGGGCGCUUACCACGGCGGGGUUCGUGACUGGGGUGAAGUCGUAACAAGGUAGCCGUAAGGGAACCUGCGGCUG
rnacentral:rRNA from 1 species